GUGUGAUUGUUAGUGAUGAGUGUGAGUGUAAGUGCGAGGUGGAGGUGAUGUGAGGGAGGUAAUAUAAGCUUAUACACUCGCACUUUAUUCGCUCACGACGCUCUCACUACCGGGACCCUUGUUUAUAAUGGCCAGCAAAAUGGAUGGCGAACUUUUAUCUCUGAAGUGGAACAAUCACCGCACAACUUUCUACCAUGUCAUUAGUGGUCUCCGUAAUAAGGAGACCUACACUGAUGUAACACUAGCAUGUGAGGGCAAGUUUUACCCCGUCCACAAGUUGGUUCUGUCCACGUGUAGUGAAUAUUUUAGUGAUAUAUUUGACCGCACACCAUGCAAGAACCCAGUAAUUGUUCUAAAAGACAUUCAGUGUCAAGACCUUGAGUUUUUGUUGGACUAUAUGUACAUUGGUGAAGUUAAUGUUAGACAAAAUGAACUUUCUUCUCUCAUCAAGGCAGCUGAGUGUUUGAGAAUUAAGGGUUUAGCUGUGCCAGAUGAAGAACCCAAAAAGAGUGGAACUAGUAGUGCAAAUACAAGUGGCGUGUCUCAGAGUAGACAACGUCCCGAACAGACCAGCCCUCCGGCAAAGAGGCGCAGGGCGGAGGAACGGCGCGUCACUCCGGCCGGGACCGAACACAGCCCUGGGAGACCCCCCGGGGAUGGACCAGGCAGUCCGGACCACCGAGAACUAAAUGUGGGGCGCCAGCCCGGUGUGAGUGAAGCUAGUAACCCUAGAGAACAACCUGAGGAAGCACAGACUGAUAUAAGUGCAGCAGACCAACCUCCAGUGCACAUUAAAGUGGAACACCAAGAAAAUUUUGAACAAUCUGCCAAUGAUGAUUUCUUAUCAGUACAAAGUAAUAGUUAUGAUGGUGGAGGGGGAGAAGAGGGGGACGGUCCUCACAGCUCAGAGGGCAACACUAAUGACUUCCCAGAGUUUCUUCAGUCAACUAUAGAAAAAGAAGAGCCUGUGGCUAUGAGUGAUUUUAACCCAAGUGAUUUCCCUGGACCGUCCGGCCUACAGAAUAGUGGAAUGGCCCCUUGGGAAAGUGAAAAUAAUUCCGCAAGUUUUGCGGAAGGGCUUUCUGGGGCUGUGGCGGCAGCUGUAGCUGCUGCGUCACAACCACAGCAACAAAGACAACAACAACAGUUGUCGGUGUGGACAGCUGCGUACGUAAUGAGGGAGGCGGGUGAUGUCAAGGCUUCGAUUGGUGAAGGGGUUGCGGGUGGUGUCGCGGCGGCACAAGUCAGAGGGGAGUUAGAUAGUGGCAGGGGGGGAUCAAGUUCUCAUCUUAUCUGCCACGUGUGUGGAUACGUUGCCCAGCGAAGACAGCAUCUUGAGAAUCACUUCCGCAAGCACACCGGGGAAAAACCCUAUCAGUGCCCCCAUUGUAAUCAUAAGUGUGGAUACUUAAGCAAUCUCAAGAAGCAUAUUAAAGUUCAUCACAUUGAUGGCCCAUACAUGUGUCCCAAAUGUCCCUUCUGGUCAGGGGAUCACCACGCCUUGACAGAACACCUGAAAGAGCAUAUGCCGUCUGUUGGCUCUACUAGCACUUGUUCUUCACCUUCGUAACCUUGCCAAGAGUCCCUAAUGAAUUUUCAAUUUUAAAGUGAGAAAGUAUGUGGGCGCGCAGUUCUUCGUGGGUAUCUGGCUGUGGGCGACGUGACCCAGAAGUUCAUACAGGACUGGAAGAUG
rnacentral:misc_RNA from 1 species